GAUGAACGCUGGCGGCGUGCCUAAUACAUGCAAGUCGAGCGAACAGACGAGGAUCUUGCUCCUCUGACGUUAGCGGCGGACGGGUGAGUAACACGUGGAUAACCUACCUAUAAGACUGGGAUAACUUCGGGAAACCGGAUCUAAUACCGGAUAAUAUAUUGAACCGCAUGGUUCAAUAGUGAAAGACGGUUUUGCUGUCACUUAUAGAUGGAUCCGCGCCGCAUUAGCUAGUUGGUAAGGUAACGGCUUACCAAGGCGACGAUGCGUAGCCGACCUGAGAGGGUGAUCGGCCACACUGGAACUGAGACACGGUCCAGACUCCUACGGGAGGCAGCAGUAGGGAAUAUUCGGCAAUGGGCGAAAGCCUGACGGAGCAACGCCGCGUGAGUGAUGAAGGUCUUCGGAUCGUAAAACUCUGUUAUUAGGGAAGAACAAAAGUGUAAGUAACUCUGCACGUCUUGACGGUACCUACUCAGAAAGCAACGGCUAACUACGUG
rnacentral:rRNA from 1 species